rnacentral:lncRNA from 1 species
CGGCAUCGUUUUAGGCCUCAUUCUUUUAUAUAAAAGCCAUAUUUAUUUAGCUCAUUUUCAUCCUUUAAAAAAAACCUUCAAAAAAACUCUGUCAACUUUCCCCAACAGACCUAGAAUCCAAUCACCUUCCGUCGUACUAACCAUAGCUCUCCACCUUACUGGUUGCCAUGCUUUUCAUCAUUGUCGAUUGCCAACCGCCAUGUCAAUUGUCAAAAAGCCCAAAAAACUCCCUAAAAGCUCCUUUCAACCCCUUUUUAACAAUUUAGCCUCUUUUUCAACCAAAAAAAAAAUCCCAAACAACCUAGAUCUACGUAAACCCCUUUGGUUCAAACCCGAAAAAAAAUAUCUAAAACUAGCUACUUUUUUUUUUCCUUGGUGCUGUUCCCUGCUCGAAAGGACUAUGUUUUUUUUUUUUUUGAGUUUUCUAUGUUUGGUUUUGGUUUGUUGUUUUUGUAGGCUAG